AGAGUUUGAUCAUGGCUCAGGAUGAACGCUGGCGGCGUGCUUAACACAUGCAAGUCGAACGAUGAUCCGGUGCUUGCGCCGGGGAUUAGUGGCGAACGGGUGAGUAACACGUGAGUAACCUGCCCUUGACUCUGGGAUAAGCCUGGGAAACUGGGUCUAAUACCGGAUAUGACUCCUCAUCGCAUGGUGGGGGGUGGAAAGCUUUUUGUGGUUUUGGAUGGACUCGCGGCCUAUCAGCUUGUUGGUGGGGUAAUGGCCUACCAAGGCGACGACGGGUAGCCGGCCUGAGAGGGUGACCGGCCACACUGGGACUGAGACACGGCCCAGACUCCUACGGGAGGCAGCAGUGGGGAAUAUUGCACAAUGGGCGGAAGCCUGAUGCAGCGACGCCGCGUGAGGGAUGACGGCCUUCGGGUUGUAAACCUCUUUCAGUAGGGAAGAAGCCCUCUUUGGGGGUGACGGUACUUGCAGAAGAAGCGCCGGCUAACUACGUGCCAGCAGCCGCGGUAAUACGUAGGGCGCAAGCGUUAUCCGGAAUUAUUGGGCGUAAAGAGCUCGUAGGCGGUUUGUCGCGUCUGCUGUGAAAGACCGGGGCUCAACUCCGGUUCUGCAGUGGGUACGGGCAGACUAGAGUGCAGUAGGGGAGACUGGAAUUCCUGGUGUAGCGGUGAAAUGCGCAGAUAUCAG
rnacentral:rRNA from 1 species